GACGAACGCUGGCGGCGUGCUUAACACAUGCAAGUCGAACGGAAAGGCCCUGCUUUUGUGUGGUGCUCGAUUGGCGAACGGGUGAGUAACACGUGAGUAACCUGCCCUUGACUUUGUGAUAACUUCAGGAAACUGGGGCUAAUACCGGAUAGGAGCUCCUGCUGCAUGGUGGGGGUUGGAAAGUUUCGGCGGUUGGGGAUGGACUCGCGGCUUAUCAGCUUGUUGGUGGGGUAGUGGCUUACCAAGGCUUUGACGGGUAGCCGGCCUGAGAGGGUGACCGGCCACAUUGGGACUGAGAUACGGCCCAGAAUCCUACGGGAGGCAGCAGUGGGGAAUAUUGCACAAUGGGCGGAAGCCUGAUGCAGCAACGCCGCGUGCGGGAUGACGGCCUUCGGGUUGUAAACAGAUUUCGCCUGUGACGAAGAGUGAGUGACGGUAAUGGGUAAAGAAGCACCGGCUAACUACGUG
rnacentral:rRNA from 1 species